rnacentral:misc_RNA from 1 species
CUGUACCCCAUGCAUGCUUCACUCUCGUGCUACAGAAGGGCAGUCUCCAGCAUGUGUACCAGAGAUCAGAAUGAAUCGUGUGGCUUCAGUUUCUUCUGAUUUUAUCUGCCCAGUUACCUGUAGCCCAUUUCCUUCCGUUGCAAUCCCUUUAUGCACCUGCAAUGAUGGCCCAUGUCCAUCUUUUGAACCUCGAACUGUAGAAACUCAAGGUGAAUCACCUCGUCGUUCUCAAACAACAUCUGUAGAUCAGGAUAAAAUUGAAGGG